AGAAUCAACGCUGGCGGCGUGCUAACACAUGCAAGUCGAACGAGAAAGUGGAGCAAUCCAUGAGUAAAGUGGCGACCGGGUGAGUAACACGUGACUAACCUACCUUCGAGUGGGGAAUAACCUCGGGAAACCGGGGCUAAUACCGCAUAACGUCUUCGGACCAAAGGAGCAAUUCGCUUGAAGAGGGGGUCGCGGCCGAUUAGCUAGUUAGCGGGGUAAUGGCCCACCAAGACAGUGAUCGGUAUCCGGCCUGAGAGGGCGCACGGACACACUGGAACUGAAACACGGUCCAGACUCCUACGGGAGGCAGCAGUGGGGAAUUUUGCGCAAUGGGGGAAACCCUGACGCAGCAACGCCGCGUGGAGGAUGAAGUCCUUCGGGACGUAAACUCCUUUCGAUCGGGACGAUAAUGACGGUACCGGAAGAAGAAGCCCCGGCUAACUUCGUGCCAGCAGCCGCGGUAAUACGAGGGGGGCGAGCGUUGUUCGGAAUUACUGGGCGUAAAGGGCGCGUAGGCGGGUGUUUAAGUCAGAGGUCAAAUCCCAGGGCUCAACCCUGGAACUGCCUUUGAUACUGGACAUCUAGAGUUCGGGAGAGGUGUGUGGAACUCCGAGUGUAGAGGUGAAAUUCGUAGAUAUCGGGAGGAACACCUGUGGCGAAAGCGGCUCACUGGACCAUUACUGACGCUGAUGCACGAAAGCUAGGGGAGCAAACAGGAUUAGAUACCCUGGUAGUCCUAGCCCUAAACGAUGAUCGCUUGGUGUGACAGGUACCCAAUCCUGUCGUGCCGGAGCUAACGCGUUAAGCGAUCCGCCUGGGGAGUACGGUCGCAAGGCUGAA
rnacentral:rRNA from 1 species